rnacentral:rRNA from 1 species
UACGAAGGGGGCUAGCGUUGCUCGGAAUCACUGGGCGUAACGGGUGCGUAGGCGGGUCUUUAAGUCAGGGGUGAAAUCCUGGAGCUCAACUCCAGAACUGCCUUUGAUACUGAGGAUCUUGAGUAUGGGAGAGGUGAGUGGAACUGCGAGUGUAGAGGUGAAAUUCGUAGAUAUUCGCAAGAACACCAGUGGCGAAGGCGGCUCACUGGCCCAUUACUGACGCUGAGGCACGAAAGCGUGGGGAGCAAACAGG